AUUUUCUCACUGCCCGUGGCAGAAUAUGACACUCUGUUUAAAUUGUUAUGGAAUUAACCUGGCGAUGUGUAUAAUGUACCACAGCGGCAGUUUAAACGGGCUAUGAAGGUAAAUACCAUAGAAGACAAAAAUGCAGAAGCCGCCGACACAGUUCUUUGUUUAUAACCUUCACACCAGCACGGAGAACUUAUUUUAUUGCUGAAAUCAUCGACCAUUCAGAUAUGUUAUACGUGUCGAUCAAUUUUAUUUUAACACCCAAAUGGUUUCAAGAAAUUCAGCUACACUUCCAACGAAAGUAUGCAUAAAUAGGAAUUGGUGCGGAAAGAGUGUACAUGUAAGCCACUGUGGAAAUCUAACGAAGAAAUCAACCGACCUUCUACCAAAAAUACCUAGGGGCAUCAAGAAAGGAAUGACUUUGCCAAUGGAAUUAUUGUGGGAUAUUAAACAACAGUGAACAAUUUUGACUAUUACAGAUGUUAUUAAAUGAAAUUAGAUCCAGAUAGAUUUGGUAAUCUUAUAAUUGAUAGUGAUUUUGCAGGGUGCUAGUUUUGGCGGUUAUUAUCUUUUAGCCGAAAGUAAAGUUUUAAAAAAAAGGAAUUAGGUUGUCAUUUGUGUCAAUGGAAUAAUUAUGGGAUAUUAAACAACAGUCAACAAUUUUGACUAUUACAUAUGCUAUUAAAUGAAAUUAGAUCCAGAUG
rnacentral:sRNA from 1 species